GUGCCUGGGCAGACAAAUUCAAUGAGGUGGUGUACUUUUCAUUUCCAGGGUCCUCCUCCACCGCUUGCAAGAAGCACUCUGCAGCCCUAUCAAACAAGAUCUUCGCCUCAUCGAUAUCAGGGAGGCAAAAUCCGCGGGCGGUUAACACAUUCCCCAGAAGCCAUAUGGUUUCGUGCUUGCUCGGAUUGAGCUGCAACGCUUCCUCCAGCUUCGAAAUAGCCUCUUCCAGCAUCCUCACACAUCCUUCGCCGCUCUGGCACUGCGCGAGCUCGAGAAGCGAUGCGCCCCACUUCGUGAGAUUGUCAGCAUCGAGGGGAUUCUUGAUGUAGG
rnacentral:misc_RNA from 1 species